AAUCGUCUAAGCCUUCUAUAAUCCUGUGUUCUUUAAUAGUAUGAAUCACAAUCAAACUGGUCAGUAGUGACUAAGACUAAACAUGGGAUGGACUAGGAGCAGUGGUAGAUCUUGAAAGUGCUCUUUUGACACCCGACUACCUUUUUCUUGUCCAAUUAGAUUUCUGAUCUUUAGGUGUGUCCUUGAAGAUUCACAAUUUCACAUGCCUCUGUGCCAUCUCCGGACAGCUUGCAUGUGUCGCUACCACUCUAGUUCUAUUUUUGAAAAUCAUGACUAAUUCCCGUCUAUCACCACCGCCAUCCAACGAAUGACCAUUCAUUUAAAGCCGACAUCAAUUUGAGUUGACAAUCCAGAAGGCCGAAGGGCCUUGACGUUGGCACUUGAAAAUUAUCUGAUACGCAAAAUUUAGAUCAAUGUGGUCAUGUCUCUAUCGGUUUUCGCCUGUUUUUUUGUGACAAUUUUCUUCUUAAUUGAUGUACGAGGUCCAUUUAAAGAAUAACAAUUAGAUCAACAUGCCUUAAAUUUUGACUUAAAUCCAAGAUAUUCUUUACUGUAUUGUUUGUGUACAAAUCCUACUUACAAAGAAAAGAGAAUGCACAUGUUAACUCGGGAGCUGGCUGUGUUUUUUUAUUCUGUUCUUUAUCAGAUUCAUUUUUAUCUGUUUGCCAAUGAGUCCACUAAAGUCCGUGCCUCUAGUAGCCAGGAUUUAUAAGAGAGGGAGUAUUUGUCAACUUGGAGAGGGAGGGGG
rnacentral:lncRNA from 1 species